GACGAACGCUGGCGGCGUGCCUAAUACAUGCAAGUCGAGCGAGUCUGCCUUGAAGAUCGGAGUGCUUGCACUCUGUGAAACAAGAUACAGGCUAGCGGCGGACGGGUGAGUAACACGUGGGUAACCUGCCCAAGAGAUCGGGAUAACACCUGGAAACAGAUGCUAAUACCGGAUAACAACAGAUGAUGCCUAUCAACUGUUUAAAAGAUGGUUCUGCUAUCACUCUUGGAUGGACCUGCGGUGCAUUAGCUAGUUGGUAGGGUAACGGCCUACCAAGGCGAUGAUGCAUAGCCGAGUUGAGAGACUGAUCGGCCACAUUGGGACUGAGACACGGCCCAAACUCCUACGGGAGGCAGCAGUAGGGAAUCUUCCACAAUGGACGCAAGUCUGAUGGAGCAACGCCGCGUGAGUGAAGAAGGGUUUCGGCUCGUAAAGCUCUGUUGUUGGUGAAGAAGGACAGGGGUAGUAACUGACCUUUGUUUGACGGUAAUCAAUUAGAAAGACACGGCUAACUACGUG
rnacentral:rRNA from 1 species